AUGGAGAGUUUGAUCCUGGCUCAGGACGAACGCUGGCGGCGUGCUUAACACAUGCAAGUCGAACGAGA
rnacentral:rRNA from 1 species